CAUAGGCCCCAUAGAACCCCAUAGGCCCCUAUAGAACCCCAUAGGCCCCUAUAGAGCCCCAUAGGCCCCUAUAGGCCGCAAUGGGCCUCACCUCGGCGAUGCGCUGCCGUAGCAGCUCCAUGUGCUCCCGUUGCCGCUCCCGUUUCUUCAUGAGCUGCAGCGCCCGCCCCGCUUCACUCGCCGCUCCCUUGUACUGCGCCAUCUUGGAUCCAGUACCGACACCGGAAACCGGAACCGGAAAUAACACACCCCCCUCUUAUAGCCUUAAGUGCGUCAUUUACGUGCGACGCGAUGGGAGUGGGAAGCGGAAGUGCGUCAUUAAAGUGAGACGCGACGAGGGGUCGGAAGCGGAAGUAGCUUCUGAAGCGGAAGUGCGUCAUUACUGAGACCCUUUCCCUAUAACGACAUCCCAUUGGAGGAGCUGUUGGUUUGGGCCCCGCCCACUUCCGGUGGCUUUAUCCAAUAGGAAGGAAGGAUUUGUCCCCGCCCCCUUUCCCGUGGCUUUAUCCAAUCAGAGUGAGUCCCUUUUUAUCCCCGCCCACUUCCGAUCUGAUUAUCCAAUCAGAGUGGCUCCUUUUGUCCCGCCCUUUUCCAGUGGCUUUAUCCAAUCAGAACGCAGCCUUUUAGCCCCGCCCCUCUUUUUGCCUUCAUCCAAUCGAAUCACAGCAUCCCAUUUAAGCCCCGCCCCUCCACCCAACGGGCUCCUCUGAUUGGACGAAUCGCCCUUUGGCUCCACCCACUUUUAGCCCCGCCUCCUCCCCCUUAAUGGCCUUCUCCGAUUGGUCGAUGUCCCGUCCCGUCCCCGUUAUUUGAUUGGAUCGUUUCCCUUUAGCCCCGCCCACUUGGGGCGGCUUUUAUUGGACACGGCACACAAUAAAUAGGGGGAGGGGCGAUAGGGGGCGCUAUAGGGCACACAUAGGGAUCUAUGGGGCACAUAUGGGGGUCUAUGGGGCACAUAUGGGGCACGUAUGGGGGUCUAUGGGGCAGAUAUGGGGCAGACCCAGCUGUCUAUGGGGCAGAUAUGGGGGUCUAUGGGGCGCUAUGGGGCACACAUAGGGGUCUAUGGGGCGAUAUGGGGGCGAUAUGGGGCAGAUAUGGGGGUCUAUGGGGCAGAUAUGGGGCAGAACCCAGCUGUCUAUGGGGCAGACUGGCUAUGGGGCAGCUAUUGGGGCACGUAUGGGGCAGAUAUGGGGGUCUAUGGGGCGCUAUGGGGCAGACCCAGCAAGUCUAUGGGGCAGCCCUAUGGGUCUGGCUAUGGGGCAGCCCCACAGAUCCCUCUAUGGGGCAGCCCUAUUGGUCCCGCUAUGGGGCAGCCCCACAGAUCCCCAUCUCUAGGUCCCGCUAUGGGCAGCCCCACAUCUCCCCCCAUUACUUCCCCUAUGGGUACAUGCAAUGUGGUCCCACUAUGGGUCCUGGCUAUGGGUCCUGCUAUGGUCUGGCUAUGGGGCAGCCCCACAGAUCCCCCUCUAUAGGUCCCGCUAUGGGUCUCCCUAUGGGUCCUGCUAUGGGUCCAUCUAUGGGUCAGCCCCACAUCUCCCCCCAUUACUCCCCUAUGGGCACAUGCAAUGUGGGUCCCCGUGGGUCAUCGAAUCGAUCCAUGGGGCGGAGGCGGAGCAGCAGCGCCCCCCCAUGGACAGACACCGCCAUCAACAGCAGCGACCAGCAGCAGCCCCAUAGAGGAACCCACAGAUAGAAAGGAAGAGCAAUCGAGGCACCCAAAAAGCCAAGCCGGAUACAUUUGAAAUGGCUGCACCUAAAGGAAGGGGAGAGGGUUCAUUAGUGCCCAUUAAUUAGUUAAUUAGCGCUAAUUAAGAGCCGUUAAUUAGGCAAUCAAUGGACCCCCCCUUCCCCUCUGAAAUGAAUGAGGAGCAAUCUGAGGCCCCCCAACAAUGAAGGCCUGGAUACAUUGAAUGGCUGCACCUAAAGGAAGGGGAAGAGGGUUCAUUAGUGCCCGGUAAUUAUUAAUUAGCGCUAAUUAAGACCCAUUAAUUAGCAAUGAUUGGACCCCCCCCCCCUCUUCCAUUGAAAUGAAUGAGGAGCAAUCUGAGGCCCCAAACAAUGAAGCCUGGACACAUUGAAUGGCUGCACCUAAAGGAAGGGGAAGAGGGUUCAUUAGUGCCCGUAAUUUAGUUAAUUAGCGCUAAUUAAAAACCCAUUAAUUAGGCAAUCAAUGGGACCCCCCCCCCUUCUCCCAUUGAGAUGAAUGAAGUCUGAUGCCCCCCCCAAAGCAAAGGCCGGACACAAUUGAAUGGCUGCACCUAAAGGAAGGGGAGAGGGUUCAUUAAUACCCAGUAAUUAGUUAAUUAGUCCUAAUUAAGACCAUUAAUUAGGCAAUAUCAAUGGACCCCCCCCCCCCUUCCCCCAUUGAAAUGAAUGCAAUCUGAUGACCCCAAUAAUGAGGCCUGGAUGAGGCCCCCAACAAUGAAGCCUGGACCACAUUGAAUGGCUGCACCUAAAGGAAGGGGAGAGGGUUCAUUAGUGCCCAGUAAUUUAGUUAAUUAGCGCUAAUUAAGACCCAUUAAUUAGGCAAUCAAUGGACCCCCCCCCUCUUCCCAUUGAGAUGAAUGCAAUCUGAGGACCCCCAUAAUGGAGCCUGGAUGAGGCCCCCCAACAAUGAAGCCUGGGAUACAUUGAAUGGCUGCACCUAAAGGAAGGGGAGAGAUUCAUUAGUGCCGGUAAUUAGUUAAUUAGUCCUAAUUAAGACCCAUUAAUUAGCGAAUGAAUGGACCGCCCCCCCCCCUUCCCCCAUUGAGAUGAAUGAAGACUGAGGACCCCCCAUUGAAAUGAAUGAAGUCUGAUGCCCCCCCAAAAGCGAAGGCCGGACACAUUGAAUGGCUGCACCUAAAGGAAGGGGAGAGGGUUCAUUAGUGCCCGUAAUUAUUUAAUUAGCGCUAAUUAAGAGCCAUUAAUUAGGCAAUCAAUGGACCCCCCCCCCCUGCUCCCCCAUUGAGAUGAAUGAAGUCUGAGGACCCCCAUUGAAAUGACAUGAAGUCUGAUGCCCCCCCCAAAGCGAAGGUCGGACACAUUGAAUGGCUGCACCUAAAGGAAGGGGAAGGAUUAAUUAUACCCCAGUAAUUAGUUAAUUAGUCCUAAUUAAGACCCAUUAAUUAGGCAUUGAAUGGACCCCCCCCCCCUCUUCCCAUUGAAAUGAAUGAAGGAGCAAUCUGAGGCCCCCCCAACAAUUGAAGCCUGGACACAUUGAAUGGCUGCACCUUAAAGGAAGGGGAAAGGAUUCAUUAGUGCCGUAAUUAGUUAAUUAGCGCUAAUUAAGACCCAUUAAUUAAGGCAAUCAAUUGACCCCCCCCCCCCGUCCUCCCAUUGAAAUGAAGAAGUCUGAUGCCCCCCCAAAGCGAAGGCCGACACAUUGAAUGGCUGCACCUAAAGGAAGGGAGAGGGUUCAUUAGUGCCCAUUAAUUAGUUAAUUAGCGCUAAUUAAGACCCAUUAAUUAGGCAAUCAAUGCCCCCCCCCCCCCUCUCCAUUGAAAUAAAUGCAAUCUGAGACCCA
rnacentral:lncRNA from 1 species